GGAAAAGGCGCCAGCACCCUGUCGCAAACCCAACCGUUCAUCUCCGGCCAAAACCUGUAGAUCAACAUAUAAUAUACAUUACUGGCGGCGAAGAAAUAAAAAGGUAAAUAUAUGUAAUGCACGCUUACCAGAUAUGAUUCGGGUGGAUAAACGAUGAAGUGGCGCAACGUGAAACCGAAACCAUUUUCUGACCGGCGUAUAAACAGUGACCUGGGACCACCAACUCUAGGUUCUCCACGGUUUUGGCUCUGUAAAAUUUAAAAUACAAUAAUUUAAAAUCUUAUUAGAUUCAUGCGAAGGUGUGCGAUAGAAUCCUAUCCUUUUAUGGACGAAUAUAAAUAUGAGUCGAGACCAGAUUCUCGUACAAAAUAUAAUACCUAC